rnacentral:rRNA from 1 species
GCUGGCGGCAGGCUUAACACAUGCAAGUCGAGCGGGCCCUUCGGGGUCAGCGGCGGACGGGUGAGUAACGCGUGGGAACGUGCCCUCUGGUCUGGAAUAACCCUGGGAAACUAGGGCUAAUACCGGAUACGCCCUUUUGGGGAAAGGCUUGCUGCCGGAGGAUCGGCCCGCGUCUGAUUAGCUAGUUGGUGGGGUAACGGCCUACCAAGGCGACGAUCAGUAGCUGGUCUGAGAGGAUGAUCAGCCACACUGGGACUGAGACACGGCCCAGACUCCUACGGGAGGCAGCAGUGGGGAAUAUUGGACAAUGGGCGCAAGCCUGAUCCAGCCAUGCCGCGUGAGUGAUGAAGGCCUUAGGGUUGUAAAGCUCUUUUAUCCGGGACGAUAAUGACGGUACCGGAGGAAUAAGCCCCGGCUAACUUCGUGCCAGCAGCCGCGGUAAUACGAAGGGGGCUAGCGUUGCUCGGAAUCACUGGGCGUAAAGGGCGCGUAGGCGGCGUUUUAAGUCGGGGGUGAAAGCCUGUGGCUCAACCACAGAAUGGCCUUCGAUACUGGGACGCUUGAGUAUGGUAGAGGUCGGUGGAACUGCGAGUGU